GUAAACGUAAUUAAUGGUAAGUUUACCCAUCAUGCUUCGGUUUAUUUACUGAAGAGUGGAUACUUAUUUUGAUCCUUAAAAGUUUUCAUGUAUAACAAUUUGACCUUGAAAAAAUAAAAAUUUAAAAUAAAAUGCUAAAAAUAUUUGACCAACAAUUGAUUUUUUGAGACUAUUUUGGGGUUUUUAAAUUUUCAGGAUCAAAUCGGUCUAAAAUAUUUCUUCUACUCUUUAUUUAAAUUCCUUGUAUCAAAGACAGUUUGUUCUAAACCACACAUUUUUUCAAAUGCUUUGUGCAGUUGUAGAGUAAUGAAUUUCAAUAUAAGUGAAUCUAUAAUCACAGAGGGUGAUUAUGUUGGCAGAAUUUCCUUGUGGAAAAUCCCAGAAGAAAACAAAUUCUCUGUCAUUUUGUUUCAUACUGUAAUUAUAUAUCAUCAUUUUUUAUUAAAUUUUACUUUAUGCUUAUUCUCUGUAUGCAUAAAUAACCUUGGAAUACUUUUUGUUUCUUAUCAGUUUGUAUGUGAAUCAUAUUCAUACAUAAUAAGUCUUGGAACAAUGUGUGUAUGUGCAUCAUAGAAGAGCAAUGUUGAUUAAGAAUUGAAGUGUGUUAAUGGUGGGAGCUACUAGGAACUUUCCAAAUACUAACUAAUACAUGAUUAGAAAUGGGUAUUUUUCUUAGUAAGAUUAGCUUGUUCCUUUGUCUCAACUCUCAACUUGUCCAUGUGAUUAAUAAUCAAUCAAUAUAAAAGAUAUUCAUGAUGCCAAGCUGUAAGUCACAUUCUACUUACCUCACCAGCCAAAUUUUAGGUGCCAAAACUAUGUGUCUAUGGGUGUCUGUUUCCAAUGGUGUCCGAUUCUUUAUCAUGUACCAAUUAGAUUUUAACAAGUAAUAUAAAAAGAGGAGGGAUCCACUUACUCCCAAAUAAGUUUUAUAAACUUACUCCCCAUCAUAGCUAUCAAUUAUAGAGAAAUCCAAUAGUUUCAAUUAAUGAGUAAAUCUAAACCGUUAGAUGUUCAUAUAAUUGAUGUGAGAGUAUCUGAUUAGUGCGAGAUAGGGAAUAAAAUUUGCACCCUCUAUUAUAUUGUUUCAUAUCUUUGACUUAACAUUUUUAUAGUCAAACUAACUCCCUUAUUAUUUUGAUUACCCUUGAAUGUAUAGAUAAUGAUUAUUUAGGAGGGAUAUAAAAUUCUUUAUCAUCAAUCAUUUUUCUGAAUAUUUAACUUGUUUUUGCUUGUAUGCAUGUAUAUGACAAUUUAAUAGUUGACUUUAACACUAUUUUACCUAAUGUAUGUGGCAGGGAAAUUGUUUGAAGUUACCUGUAAUAUGCUUGGAGCUUUUGGAAAAGUCUGCUAAUGGAAUCGCUUUCUCAACUAAUCGCUUAAAAAAAUAAAAAAUAAAGAGGGAAUUUAUGUAAACGUAAUUAAUGGUAAGUUUACCCAUCAUGCUUCGGUUUAUUUACUGAAGAGUGGAUACUUAUUUUGAUCCUUAAAAGUUUUCAUGUAUAACAAUUUGACCUUGAAAAAAUAAAAAUUUAAAAUAAAAUGCUAAAAAUAUUUGACCAACAAUUGAUUUUUUGAGACUAUUUUGGGGUUUUUAAAUUUUCAGGAUCAAAUCGGUCUAAAAUAUUUCUUCUACUCUUUAUUUAAAUUCCUUGUAUCAAAGACAGUUUGUUCUAAACCACACAUUUUUUCAAAUGCUUUGUGCAGUUGUAGAGUAAUGAAUUUCAAUAUAAGUGAAUCUAUAAUCACAGAGGGUGAUUAUGUUGGCAGAAUUUCCUUGUGGAAAAUCCCAGAAGAAAACAAAUUCUCUGUCAUUUUGUUUCAUACUGUAAUUAUAUAUCAUCAUUUUUUAUUAAAUUUUACUUUAUGCUUAUUCUCUGUAUGCAUAAAUAACCUUGGAAUACUUUUUGUUUCUUAUCAGUUUGUAUGUGAAUCAUAUUCAUACAUAAUCUACAU
rnacentral:lncRNA from 1 species